UGUGAAAGCUUUAUUGACUUUAGCAGCCA
rnacentral:piRNA from 1 species